rfam:Picea glauca, whole genome shotgun sequence.
GCCUUGAUGGUGAAAUGGUAGACACGCAAGACUCAAAAUAUUGUGCUUAAGAGCAUGGAGGUUCGAGUCCUCUUCAAGGCA